GACGAACGCUGGCGGCGUGCUUAACACAUGCAAGUCGAACGAUGAAGCUGGAGCUUGCUCCGGUGGAUUAGUGGCGAACGGGUGAGUAACACGUGAGCAAUCUGCCCUUGACUCUGGGAUAACUGCGGGAAACUGUAGCUAAUACCGGAUAUGAGGCUCGAAGGCAUCUUCGGGUCUGGAAAGAAUUUCGGUCAAGGAUGAGCUCGCGGCCUAUCAGCUUGUUGGUGAGGUAAUGGCUCACCAAGGCGACGACGGGUAGCCGGCCUGAGAGGGUGACCGGGCACACGGUGACUGAGACCCUGCCCAGACUCCUACGGGAGGCAGCAGGGGGGAAUAUUGCACAAUGGGCGAAAGCCUGAUGCAGCAACGCCGCGUGAGGGAUGAAGGCCUUCGGGUUGUAAACCUCUUUUAGCAGGGAAGAAGCGAAAGUGACGGUACCUGCAGAAAAAGCACCGGCUAACUACGUGCCAGCCGCCGCGGUAA
rnacentral:rRNA from 1 species